CCUACGGGAGGCAGCAGUGGGGAAUAUUGCACAAUGGGCGCAAGCCUGAUGCAGCCAUGCCGCGUGUGUGAAGAAGGCCUUCGGGUUGUAAAGCACUUUCAGCGGGGAGGAAGGCGUUAAGGUUAAUAACCUUGGCGAUUGACGUUACCCGCAGAAGAAGCACCGGCUAACUCCGUGCCAGCAGCCGCGGUAGUACGGAGGGUGCAAGCGUUAAUCGGAAUUACUGGGCGUAAAGCGCACGCAGGCGGUCUGUCAAGUCGGAUGUGAAAUCCCCGGGCUCAACCUGGGAACUGCAUUCGAAACUGGCAGGCUAGAGUCUUGUAGAGGGGGGUAGAAUUCCAGGUGUAGCGGUGAAAUGCGUAGAGAUCUGGAGGAAUACCGGUGGCGAAGGCGGCCCCCUGGACAAAGACUGACGCUCAGGUGCGAAAGCGUGGGGAGCAAACAGGAUUAGAUACCCGAGUAGUC
rnacentral:rRNA from 1 species